AAAUGACCAUGAGGAGUUUUGUGUUGUGUGCAGCCCCACCUGGUACACCGUCGAUCCCCGGUGAGGUCCUGUUCUCGCCCUGUCGUUUUAGUACUCGGCGUCGAUUAAGUAGAUGCUAACCGUGUGUAUAUUUGUGUGUUCUUGUGAGGAGAAAUCUCAUGAUUUGGGGGAAGACGAAGUCCAAGCACAACCCGCGCCAAUGGCUCGAUGAAAAAUCUAAACCAAAACCCUUAGCGUUUUUGUGGGUUCCGAAGGGAUUUUAUGUUGGUAGGGUAAUUCGUGUUCUAAUUAGUUCGCUCAGUUAUUGAGUUGAAGAUAUUGUUAGCUUUAUGUGUUGAUGAUGCUAUUUUGGUUAGCAGGUGUGGUGCGGUGUGAUCUCCAUUUCCCUAUUGUUGAUGUCUUACUCCAUCAUGACCUUAGGGAAGGAUGUUUUCCUCUAAAUUACUCGAAAUAAUUAUGCUUGGUGUAUGUGUUGUUUUAGCUACUUGAUGAAAUGUUUUAGUUGUGUGUGAUAAUAUGGUUGCCGUUCGAGUGGAAAGUAGAUGUGUUGUAUGACCUAAGUUAGAGUUGAGGCAAUUCGAGUGGAAAGUAGAUGUGUUGUAUGACCUAAGUUAGAGUUGAGGCAAGUAUGUGUGUCUCGUAUUACGAAACUAAUUAGAGAUAUGCAUGAUGUUUGUAGAUGGAUUAUGUGUAGAGCGUUUUGGUAAGGAUAUUUAUCAAGUAUAGAUGAACUGGUUAGUAUAUAUGAAUUGAGUGAUUAAGUUAAGUUCGUGAUGCGAAUUGUAUAUUAGGUGCUUAUAAAGACGCCUUAUCUCAUGUAAUGUUAUGUGAUACGCAUAAAUAGUAAAUAUGAAUACUUAUGUGAUUAAGUAAAUGGUUUUAUCUCUAAUCCAUAACAAGGUAUUAAAGCAUUUCUAAGUAUCAACAACAUGAUACUAUAGAGCCUAAUUAGGAGCUAAAAUUGCAUACUCACAGUUUUAGACUGCAGGUACAGUUUCUGCAGUGCUAUUUGUUUGAUGAACUAAAGUGCAUUGUCUGUAGAACUAUACUAUAGAAAAGUUUUAGAUAACUUCUUUAUCUUGGUUGUGUUAAAAUUUUAUGACCAUAGGUAUAGUAGUUUGAGAGUUAUGAUUUUUUCCAAGUCCAGUUUCAGAAUCUGUCCAAAUUCUGUACAGGUUUCAAAAAUUGGAUUGUUUGAUUAAGUAAAACUGAGAAUCAGCUCUUAGUAAUUAUAAAGACGUUGUAGUACGUUUUGUAGGCUUUCCAAAAAGUCUUGGAUCACCCCUUUUGGUGGUCUAGAAGUCAAGUUAUGGCUGUUUGAAAUGUGAUGUUUGAAUCUGUCCAAAAUCUGGACAGCAAUGUGUGUUUGAAUUAACUGACUUUGAUACACAUUGAAUCACCUUGAGAUGAUUAUAAAUGAAUUGUAGAAAAUUCUACUAGCUUUCUGAAAAGUCUAGGAUCAUCUGAUUUGGAUGCCUGAGACUCCAGUUAUGGAUUUUUGAAGUAGUCAAAUUCUGUCCAAAUCUGGACAUAAUUUAUGUUUAGUUCUGUUUGAUCUUUCUAAAGGUCGAAUCAUGUUGUGAUGAUAAUAUAAGAGUUAUAGAGAACUUUCUAAGCUUUCCAUAAAGUCAUAGUUUACUAUUUUUGGAUGCAUAUUUUGUGAGUUAUGAAUAAAACAGUUAACCGUUGUGCUGCUGUCUAGAAAAUCUGAAUGUGUUAAACUGAUUUCUUGGUGUCAUUUUUGUUUGCCUAGGAAGGAUUAGUUAAUCCUUGUCCUUGAUUGAUGCCAACUUGUUGCAUAUGAAGUGUUUAUCGAAAUGCCUGGUUAUACUUGAUUAAUUCAUUUCCUUAUUACUGUCUGAUUUAGACUUUAGUAAUUGGGAAUAAAGUAAAUACUUUGGUGAGUGCAUUUGAAUUAGUGACUAUUUAGGUUUUGUAUGAGUAUGGUGAAUCAAUAAUGCGAAAAGGUUAGUGGACAUUUAUAUCUAGUAUUAUUGAGUUGAUUCGAUUGUGUUGUGUUUAUAAGUAUGUUAUGAGUGCCUGAUACUUGCGUUAGGCCUAUUUAAGUGUAAAAGAUACGCUUGUGGUACAUAGUAAUAUCUUCACAUCUAGUGUGCUCAUAGGAGUUGUGAUAACUUCUUUUAAGUGUUUACCCUCUUUAGUAUAGAAUAUCUAUCUCAUGCUAUUCAUGUCCAUGCUCAUAUGCAUUAUGCAUUUCCAAUAGGUACGCUAGAUGAUUAUGCGAGCUGAAGGACAUGGAUCAGAGCGAACCAUAAGAUGGUAUUGGUGGAUUAAUCUUGUGGAUCAGAGCUGAAGGACAUGGAAGAUGCUCACCAAGUGGUCGUCAAUUAACAACACUAACUUAGUGUUAUCUCAGGCAAGCCCCGGUGCAUUUGCCACCUCCUUGUUGUUUUUAAAAAUUUUAUCACUUAUAUGCUGCAUUAGGUGAUAGGAGUUGAGUGAUGAAACAAUUGAUGCAUUACCAUUCCUUGGAAUUUGAUUAUCCUCCUUGCUACCUGUUUUAUAAAGAGAACUAAUGAGGCUUAGCCCUGCCUAGAGAAUUAAAACUUGUUUCUUUUUAAAAGAAUGAUGUGUGACACUGGGUAUGAGUUUGUUUUAUGAAAAAGGACUUGUAAUGGUGAGCGCAUCAUCUGCAGUGAUGAAUUCAUCGUUCAAGUAUGGUACCUCUAUCAGGUACAUGGUUUUGGGAAGGAAAAUAAUAAGAUGAGACCAGACGUUGAGCAGGAAAUGUCGCCCGUCUGUGUCGAUUAAGGACCGCACUGAAAGUAGGCUUGCUAAUCUAGGACCCUUUAACUGGCCACAUGCCUCAUCAUGGGUAAGCUUAGCCUCGGCCGGACCAAUACCAGAACAACUCGCACGCACUGGGAGUGGAAAGAUGGCGAGAGUAACGUGUGCCCACCUAGCAAGUGGCUGGAUGGUGGGGUACUAUGCUCUUGGGUCGCGUGAACCCGUUCUGGUCUUGAGAAACCCAGUGGCGAGUUGACAUAUGCAAGGGUUAGUGCUACAUAUGUUGUGUGGUUGAAGAUCCUCAGCUGAGUAUUAAUCGAUUCGGAUCGCCGUUACUUCUCGGAUAUGAAGACUGGAUCACUGCCCUGCAUCGUAGAUAACAAGUGAAACUAAAGAUGCUAAAAUAAAGCUAGUGUAGGACAAGUGAAUGCUCUAGAUUAGGAAAAUCUAGAUUUAGGAAAAGUACUUAACUGGUGAAGUAAAAGCUUGGCAUAAGGAUCCACUACUAGUAAGCUUUUCUGCAAAACGAGUCUUUGAAAUUUGAUAAGCUUUACAUUGAUUCUCAAUAAACCAGCAUACCCUUGAGAGUCUUUUCUUUAGUCGGGUAAGUCUUGCUGAGUAAUUGCGUACUCAGAGUUUUAUUCCCUGUUGUUUUUCAGGUUAUAAGUUUGUUCUGUUGUGGAUGGUGCUAAGUGCCGGUGGGCUCGGCCUUCUUAUAUAAGUAUAACUCAUCUUUAGCUUCCUUAUUGAGGAUUGUCACUUAAGCUAGCACGUAUUUUAAAACUCAUAAAUGUUUUAUACAUUCAAAUUGUAAUCUUUUGAAUCAAUUUCUCUUGUAAUCAUUCCGAUGAUAUAUUGUAAUAUUGCUAUAACUUGUAAAUGUUGUAACUUGUAAUCAUUUUGUAAUAAAGAAUUUAUUUCCGC
rnacentral:lncRNA from 1 species